GUGGGAUGUGUGUGUGCGCAACCGUCGCAUUUGUAGCUCUUGUCGUACUCGCUUGGGUGUAUCCUUUAACAGUUCUACUUCUUGACUUUGACUUCUGAUUUUUCUGUUUUCGCGGUUUACGUUACGUCCUUGUCCUGUGGCUCCUGUGCGAGUACUCGCGGCCCGGGACGGACAUAUCUUUCUACUUCUAUACGUACUCCCUUUUUGUCGCGCUGGUUG
rnacentral:misc_RNA from 1 species